AUUGAACGCUGGCGGCAGGCCUAACACAUGCAAGUCGAACGAGUGGCGGACGGGUGAGUAAUGUCUGGGAAACUGCCUGAUGGAGGGGGAUAACUACUGGAAACGGUAGCUAAUACCGCAUACUAUCGGAUGUGCCCAGAGGGGAGUAGCUAUUAGGUGGGGUAAAGGCUCACCUAGGCGACGAUCCCUAGCUGGUCUGAGAGGAUGACGAGCGAAACUGGAACUAGGACACGGUCCAGACUCCUACGGGAGGCAGAGGUGGGGAAUAUUGCACAAUGGGCGCAAGCCUGAUGCAGCCAGGCCGCGUGUAUGAAGAAGGCCUUCGGGUUGUAAAGUACUUUCAGCGGGGAGGCGUUACCCGCAGAAGAAGCACCGGCUAACUCCGUGCCAGCAGCCGCGGUAAUUC
rnacentral:rRNA from 1 species